AGUUUGAUCCUGGCUCAGAACGAACGCUGGCGGCAGGCCUAACACAUGCAAGUCGAGCGCACCUUCGGGUGAGCGGCGGACGGGUGAGUAACGCGUGGGAAUAUGCCCUUUGGUACGGAAUAGUCCUGGGAAACUGGGGGUAAUACCGUAUGCGCCCUUCGGGGGAAAGAUUUAUCGCCAAAGGAUUAGCCCGCGUUGGAUUAGGUAGUUGGUGGGGUAAUGGCCUACCAAGCCGACGAUCCAUAGCUGGUUUGAGAGGAUGAUCAGCCACACUGGGACUGAGACACGGCCCAGACUCCUACGGGAGGCAGCAGUGGGGAAUCUUAGACAAUGGGGGCAACCCUGAUCUAGCCAUGCCGCGUGAGUGAUGAAGGCCCUAGGGUUGUAAAGCUCUUUCAGCUGGGAAGAUAAUGACGGUACCAGCAGAAGAAGCCCCGGCUAACUCCGUGCCAGCAGCCGCGGUAAUACGGAGGGGGCUAGCGUUGUUCGGAAUUACUGGGCGUAAAGCGCACGUAGGCGGACCGGAAAGUUGGGGGUGAAAUCCCGGGGCUCAACCCCGGAACUGCCUUCAAAACUAUCGGUCUGGAGUUCGAGAGAGGUGAGUGGAAUUCCGAGUGUAGAGGUGAAAUUCGUAGAUAUUCGGAGGAACACCAGUGGCGAAGGCGGCUCACUGGCUCGAUACUGACGCUGAGGU
rnacentral:rRNA from 2 species